CAGACAGGGAUUGGGGAGCACCAGGAGGGGGACACGACUGGGAAGAGGAGAAGAUCUGCCCAGGGCACAGCCCAGAGCCACAGGGGCUCGUGCUUAAGGCCAGAGGCGAGGCCCCAGAACCCAGUGAGGAGGCCCAGAGAGACCAGUGUCUGGAGGGAGGACAGAGAGGGAGGCCCAGAGAGACCAGUGUCUGGAGGGAGGACAGACAUGUAUGUGGGAGGACUGCGAUGUCCCAGAACAGAACAGACGCCCCCGAGACACACUGGGGGCAACAGGGGCCACCCACACCACCUGAGCAGCCUUCUCCCACAGCAGCUUCCCAGGCAGCCAGGGGCCUGGUGAUAGGGCUCAGAUCAGGGAAGGAAAAAAUAAAUUCUUUGUGCCACACGAACUGCUGCCCUUUCCCACAAGCCCUUACAAUCCUGUCUUUGUUUCCGGUGGAGCAAAUGAUAGGGAAACCGAUGGCUGUUCUGUUCGCAUUAUGGUUGAGCCUUAAAGACAAGCCCCCCAGGGCUCAGGGGGAAGGACGCCAGGCAGCGAGCUCAGUGGCCACGGGGGAAGGUGGAUCACCAGGGAAGGGCAUCUCCCCGAAGUCAGGCCUGGAGCAAGCUGCACCUGGGGCCCUCCAGGGGUGGGGACGCUUCCCUGUGCCACUGGAAGAUGGAGGUCCCCCAGGGACAGCAUUGCGGCUGGCUCUUAGAACGGGCUAGAAACCAAAAAAACACAGGCAAGAUGAGGUCAAGAUGGAAAUAAGCAAACAGAGAUGGUCAAAGGUGCUGGCAGCGUCUUCCUGGGAAGCAUAUCCUACCCGGCUGACCAUGGCUUUGCAGAGUUCAAGGUCCCAAGGUCCUCUGAUCUGAGCAGACUGUGGGUGAGUAAAGGGCAGGACCAAGCCCAAGCCAGCCGCUCUCUCCAGGCCUGCCUUUGCACACCCCCCCCAAAUUUCCACAACACUCAGGGGGGCCCCAGGGAGGAAACGAAACACUCACCCGUGUGCACACACGGAGACGUGAACGCCCACAAAUAGGCUCACACACACAGCUGUGAAUGCACACCACACGCAAAUACGUGCACGUGCACACACACACACAGGGCACACACGUGCAUACAGGUGCGUAUGCUCACGCACACGGGCUUGCAGGCACACCGAUGCAUCCGUGCACGUGCUCGAGCACAGAAUAUACUCACAGACGUGCACGUUUGCACACAGGCGUGCACCACACGCAGUCACGCAGGCAGGCACACACGCAUGUACACGCCCUGGGUGGUUUGCGGGGUCCUGAGCUGAGAGGGCCAUGUAGCCUCCACCCCCCUGCAGAGUCCCGCAGCCCUCCCCUCUUUUUCUCCCCUGCUGUUGGAGGAGGUAGAGACUGGGCCUCGAGGAGCUCCCAGCUCUGCCCUGGGGGCAGCGGCCGAAGCAGCUGGAGUAGCUCACUCAGGUGCCAAGGGGCCCUUCCCUCCAGGGGCCCUUCCCUCCCGCAGCUGGGGGCUGGCUGUGCCCACCGGGCAAGGUCACACAGCCUGCAGGGGCCAAGUUCUUGUUACUGUUUUGAAGUAAAUACCCCUUCCAUUAUAUGUUAACAGAGCAAAAUGGCUUUGAGACAGCCAGGGGGUAGAAAUUCUGAUUCUAUCUCUCGUCCACCAGUCGACCAACAGAUGAUUCGUCAUCCAACAAGUGAGCAUUCCACGCCUCUGACAUCGCAGGACAUGGAAGGAUCUGACACGGAAGGACACUCCAGGCCUUUCUUGUAAACCGGUCAAAUCCAAGGAAAAGCCCUACGCGGACCAAGGCGAUGGGGACCUCCUCCUUGCCCUCCCAACCCCCACCACGCGACCAGGGCCUGUGCAAGAAAUGGUGCCCUCAGGAAGGGGUGACGGACAGGUGGACGGUGUCCUGCCCGCUGACCCAAGUGGCCAGUCCCUCCGCAGCUACACAGGAGGUUCCAGAAACAUUGCCUGUACCUACAUCACUUGGCGUUUGCCAGAGGCAACUAAAACUCCUGAAUGGGAAGUGGGGAGCGAGUGUUUCGUGGGGACAGAGUUUCCGUUGGGAAAGAGGAAAGGAGACAGACCGUGGUAACGUUUGCGCGGCGAUAUGGAAGUUCAUGCCAUGGAACCACACACUUAGAAAUGGUAAACUUUAUCUGAUGAAUAUUUUACCCCAACAAAAAAAUGACUAUGUAAAAAAAUAAAAAGUUUAUUCAAACACA